rnacentral:rRNA from 1 species
GACAUAGGUCGCGAACGUUAUUCGGAAUUAUUGGGCGUAAAGGGCGCGUAGGCGGCUUGGCAAGUGGAUGGUGAAAUCCCUCGGCUUAACCGAGGAACUGCCGUCCAAACUGCUUCGCUUGAGACCGGGAGAGGUGAGUGGAAUUCCCAGUGUAGCGGUGAAAUGCGUAGAUAUUGGGAGGAACACCAGUGGCGAAGGCGGCUCACUGGACCGGUACUGACGCUGAUGCGCGAAAGCGUGGGGAGCAAACGGG